GAUGAACGCUAGCGGCAGGCUUAACACAUGCAAGUCGAGGGGUAACAGGGUAGCAAUACUGCUGACGACCGGCAAACGGGUGCGGAACACGUACACAAUCUGCCUUUGUCUGGGGGAUAGCCCGAAGAAAUUCGGAUUAACACCCCAUAUUAUAAUUAGGUGGCAUCACCUUGAUUAUUAAAACUACCGGUGGACAAAGAUGAGUGUGCGUCCCAUUAGCUAGUUGGUAGGGUAACGGCCUACCAAGGCGACGAUGGGUAGCUGGUGUGAGAGCACGACCAGCCACACGGGCACUGAGACACGGGCCCGACUCCUACGGGAGGCAGCAGUGAGGAAUAUUGGUCAAUGGACGCAAGUCUGAACCAGCCAUGCCGCGUGAAGGAUGAAGGCGUUCUGCGUUGUAAACUUCUUUUAUCUGGGAAGAAACCUGAGUUUUCUAAUUCNGCCGACGGUACCAGAGGAAUAAGCACCGGCUAACUCCGUGCCAGCCGCCGCAGUAAU
rnacentral:rRNA from 1 species